UGGCUUCAGCUGGUCCCUCCGUUUGGGGUCUCUGACUUCCAGCAGCAGGGAGGGUGUAUGUGUCCAGGAAUUUAUCUAUCUCUUCUAGGUUUUCUAGUUUGUCUGCACAGAGGUGUUUACAGUGGUUCUGAUGGCUGUUUCCAUUUCUGUAGGGUAAGUAAUAACAUUCCUUUAAAUCAUUUCUAAUUGUGUUUAUUUGGAUCUUCUCUCUUUUCUUCUUAAUUAGUCUACCUAGUGGCCUAUUUUAUAAUUAUUUUUAAUUCCAACUCCCAAAUUCAUUGAUCUUUUGAAUGGUUUUUUGUGUCUUAAUUUCCUUCAGUUCAGCUCUGAUUUGUGUUAUUCCUUAUCUUCUGCUAGCUUCGGGGUUGAUUUGUUCUUUUUUCUCUAAUUCUUUCAAUUUUGAAUUUAGAUUGUUAAUUUGAGGCCUUACAAACUUUUUGAUGUGGGCAUUUAGUGCUAUGAAUUUCCCUCUUACUACUGCCUUAGUUGUGUCUCAGAGAUUCUGGUUUGUUGUAUCUUUGUUCUUAUUAUUUUUAUAGAACUUCUUGAUUUCAGACUUAAAUUUAUCUAAAAGUCAUCCAGGAGCAUGAUGUUUAAUUUCCAUGUAAUUGUAUGCUUUAAUAAUUUUCAUUGUGUUGACUUUUAUUUUUAUUGCACUGUGGCCUGAGAGUGUGUUUGGUAUGAUUUUGGUUAUUUUACAUUUGUUGAGGAUUGUUUUAUAUCCAAUUAUGUGGUUGAUUAUAGAGUAUGUGCCAUGUGGCUAUGAAAAGAAUGUAUAUUCUCUUAUUUGGGGAUGGACACUUCUGUAAAGGUCUACCAGAUCCAUUUGGUCCAAUGCUAAGUUUAGGUCCUAAAUAUCUUCAUUAAUUUUCUGCCUGUAUGAUCUAAUACUGUCAGUGGAGUGUUGAUGUCACUCACUAUUAUUGGGUGGGAGUGUAUGUCUAUUUGUAGGUCUCUAAGAACUUGCCUCAUGAAUCCAGACAUUCCUGUAUUGGGUGCAUAUCUAUUUGGGAUUGUUAGGUCUUCUUGUUAAAUUGAAUACUUUACCAUUAUGUUAUAUCCUUGCUUGUCUUUUUUUUAAAAAACUUUCAUUUGUUUGAAACUUGUUUUGUCUGAAAUUAGGAUUGCAACCCCCCUUUUUUCUGUUUUCCAUUUGCUUGGUAGAUUUUUCUCCAUUUAUUUAUUUUGAGCCUAUGAGUGUCAUUAAAUUUGAGACGGGUCUCUUGAAGACAGAAUACCAUUGGGUCUUGCUUUUUUAUCCUGCUUGCCAUUCUGUGCCAUUUAAUUGUGUCAUUUAGCCCAUUUACAUUCAAGAUUAAUAUUGAUAUGUGUGGAUUUGAUCCUGUCAUUGUGCUGUUAGCUUGUUAUUAUGUUGUCUUGUUUGUGUUGUUGCUUUACAGUGACACUGGUCUCUGUGUUUCAGGGUUUUUUUUAUUAGCUGGUAGUGGUGUUCUUUUCUAUACUAAGUGCCGCUUUCAAGAUCUCUUGUAAGGCAGUUCUGGUGAUAAUAAAUUCCCUCAACAUUUGCUUACCUGAAAAAAAUCUUCCUUCUCCUUCACUUAAAAAGCUUAAUUUGGUUGGAUAUGAAAUUCUUGGCUGAAGAUUUUUUUCUUUAAGAAUGUUGAAUAUAGGCCUCCAAUCUCUUCUAAUUUGUAAGAACUCAGCUGACAGAUCUGCUGUUACCGUGAUAGAAAUCCCUUUGUACGUGACCUGCCCUUUCUCUCUGGCUGCCUUUAACAUUCUUUCUUUUAUUUCAAUCUUGGGAAAUCUGAUGAUUAUAUAUCUUGGAGAUGAUCUUGUGUAGAAUCUUGCAUGAGUUCUCUGUAUUUCCUGAAUAUGUCUGUUGGCCUCUCUAGCAAGGUUGGGAAAGAGUUCAUGAAUGAUAUUCUGAAAUAUACUUUCCAAGUUGUUUGCUUUCUGGCUCUCCCUUUCAGGGAUUCCAGUGAUUUACAGAUUUAACCUCUUUUUAUAAUCCCAUACUUCUCAGGGGUUUUGUUCAUUUCUUUUUAUGCUUUUUCUUUAUUUUUGUCUGACUGUAUUAUUUCAGAAAACCAGUCUUCAAGUUCUGAAACUCUUCCCUCAGACUAGUAUAUUCUGCUGAUAAUCCUUGUGAUUGCAUUGUGAGAUUCUUGUAUUGCGUUAUUCAGCUCUGUCAGACCCAUUAAAUUCUUUCUAAUACUGGUUAUUUCAUCCUUCAGCUCCUGUAUCACAUUAUUGUGAUUCUUAUUUUCCUUGGAUUGGGUUUUGUCUUCCUCCCAAAUCUCAAUAAUCUUUGUUUCUGCCAUAUACUGUAUUCUGUCAUUCUAGCCAGUUCAACCUUGUUAAGAACUCUUGUUGGAAAACUGCUGUAGUCUUUUGGAGGAAAUAUGAUAUUCUGGCCAUUUGAGUUAUUGCAUUUGUUCUUUCUCAUCUCUGUAUGUGGGUGUUUCUUUAACUGCAGUGUAUAUUAGGCACAGUAAAUAGACUUCCUUUCUGGAUGUUUUCACCAGGGAGAGCCUUUGUGUAGGGUAUUUAUUUGAAGCUGACUUUGUGUCUCUGGCUUCAAAGGGGGUUAUGUUAGUGAGGCAUUUUUGGUGUUGAAGUUUUGGGGUGUAAUCCAGCAGGUGACACUUAUGCUUAUUGGUCAGUUGAUAGACUGUUGCUCAAUUA
rnacentral:lncRNA from 1 species